rnacentral:rRNA from 1 species
CCUUAGAGUUUUAUCCUGGCUCAGGAUGAACGCUAGCUACAGGCUUAACACAUGCAAGUCGAGGGGCAGCAUUUUUAUAGCAAUAUAAAAGAUGGCGACCGGCGCACGGGUGAGUAACACGUAUCCAACCUGCCGAUAACUCGGGGAUAACCCUUCGAAAGAAGGCCUAAUACCCGAUGGCAUAUCCCUUCCGCCUGGUUGAGAUAUUAAAGAACUUCGGUUAUCGAUGGGGAUGCGUUCCAUUAGCUUGUUGGCGGGGUAACGGCCCACCAAACCGACGAUGGAUAGGGGUUCUGAGAGGAAGGUCCCCCACAUUGGUACUGAGACACGGACCAAACUCCUACGGGAGGCAGCAGUGAGGAAUAUUGGUCAAUGGCCGAGAGGCUGAACCAGCCAAGUCGCGUGAAGGAAGAAGGAUCUAUGGUUUGUAAACUUCUUUUAUAGGGGAAUAAAGUGGAGGACGUGUCCUUUUUUGUAUGUACCCUAUGAAUAAGCAUCGGCUAACUCCGUGCCAGCAGCCGCGGUAAUACGGAGGAUGCGAGCGUUAUCCGGAUUUAUUGGGUUUAAAGGGUGCGUAGGUGGUGAUUUAAGUCAGCGGUGAAAGUUUGUGGCUCAACCAUAAAAUUGCCGUUGAAACUGGGUUACUUGAGUGUGUUUGAGGUAGGCGGAAUGCGUGGUGUAGCGGUGAAAUGCAUAGAUAUCACGCAGAACUCCGAUUGCGAAGGCAGCUUACUAAACCAUAACUGACACUGAAGCACGAAAGCGUGGGGAUCAAACAGGAUUAGAUACCCUGGUAGUCCACGCAGUAAAC